AGCUUAAUAGUGAACAGUUGUCGACACAUUUGUCUGUAACUAAAAUUCUAAAUUAAGUAUCAAUGUUUCAUACAAAUCUUUUACUUUCAUCGCAACGUACGGGCACAUAUCUAGAAUAUAUAUUGUUAUCGUGUUAUUGUACGAUUCCGUGGCAUAUUAUAGUGAUGAUAGUGCAAAGUUUGUUAAAAGGUAAGGGCAGCCAUAAUGUACAGUGCUGUAGUUGUAUGUUUCAUUUCUUUCUCUAAUAAAUAUUAUAUCAUUUGAUAAGAUCAAGUCAGUUUAUGUUUGGGCAGGUUAUAAUGUUUUUGCCCUUUUAACUUUACUAUAUACCCUUUUUUGUCAAGGCUUUGAUGAUAAGCCAAUGGUUAAAAGGGCUGUCAUUGUAACCCCCACAAGCUUAGUUAGCAACUGGGAAUCUGAGAUAAUUAAGUGGUUGAAAGGCAGAGUGCAGGUGCUGGCCCUCUGUGAAAGCACACGUGCUGAUGUUCUUUCCGGAAUUGAAAGUUUCUUAAAACCCUUGAGCCGUCUCCAGGGGGAGGAACUGCGCAAGCACAUUGGCGCAACUUGUUACAUCGAAUGCAGCUAAAAAACUCAGCAGAUUAUUAAGGGCAGGCAGACCUUACUUGUUUUAUGGCUAGAAAUAAUGAGGGUCAUCUCCAGCUGCCAGAGAUGGAUCAUAUUCAACCCAAGAACACCCCGCACAAUGAACCACUGCCUCUAGCCUCCUGAGAACUGGAACAGUGGUGUUGGGUUUGUGUCUAAGGAAAUGAUCCAAUCUCAUUGUCCAGCGCCUGCUGAGUACAUUCAGAUGUGGUCCUCCUCCGAUGAACAAGGCCAUGGAUGCACACCUUGACGAGCUCAACUACACAAAGGAGAUGCAGUUCCAGUUCACGGAUGCAUAUAGCCGAGCAUGCAGCUUUCUUAAACCACAAAGACAGUUACAUCAGAAGCUGUAUCAGAAGUGGUUCAGAGUUCUGUUUCUGUGGCGGUCGAUGCUGUUGACUUGGUAGAUGACAAGGGAGAUAGCGAUGAUGACAUCGUCGAUCACCAUGGGGACGAGGACAGGAUGACUGAUGUGGAGCUGUGGCAGCAACUUGAAAGUGAGUUGUACCGGAAGAGGGAGGGAGAAGAAGAUGACAUAGCCGAAGAGAUGGCUGAAAGUACAAUUGCUGAGGAGGUGGGUGGCGUGGCUGAAGAUGUGCUCAGCGAGACAAAGGAAGUGCAUAGGUUCUACCCUCCUGGAAAAAUCAUGCACAUAUUAUUCUCCAGCAGUGAAGAAGCAGUUCGUGGAGAGGAGCCUGAUGAUGAUCAUGGACAUCACUUGUGCUGUUCGUGAGAUCAUGGACAUCAGUUGUGCUGCAGUUACUGUGAAUAGAAAGACAUGGUGUUUGAAUGGGGGUCAGACUUUAUUUGGACAGAAUGAUGUAUGGAUUUAUUUGGUGUUCAGCCUGAGGUGUUUAUAAACAUCUAAUAAAGUUGCUGUCGGCACACAUAUUUGUGAACUGAAGCAAAAAUGGAAUCAUGCAGUGUAACGUUUGCAAUAGACUCUUACAGCCUGAUUCGAGUUCAUCCUUUACAACUUUACACUGGUCAGAAAUAAUGCCAUUUUUUGUUUAUCAUGUUUCAACAUUAAUAAUCUACAGGAUAAUGGCUUAGUGCCAAUUGUGGAGCCAGAGAUCCUUCUUGAUGGAGACCAUGGGAUCGAAAGAACUCUCGAGGUGGCAGAGAAAGUGUGGUCUGAGGUGUUCUUCUACUUGGCCCAGAACAAUGUUCUGUUUGAGGGUAUCCUGCUGAAGCCCAGCAUGGUCACUCCUGGAGCCGACCACAAGGAGAAGGCUUCUCCAGAAGCCAUCGCAAAGCACACGCUAACAAUGCUCAAGCGGAUCCCUUCUGGUUGUGUCCUUCAUGUUGCACGAGAUGACUAACCUAUAGAGG